AGUGAACGCUGGCGGUAGGCCUAACACAUGCAAGUCGAACGGCAGCACAGUAAGAGCUUGCUCUUACGGGUGGCGAGUGGCGGACGGGUGAGGAAUACAUCGGAAUCUACUUUUUCGUGGGGGAUAACGUAGGGAAACUUACGCUAAUACCGCAUACGACCUACGGGUGAAAGCAGGGGAUCUUCGGACCUUGCGCGAUUGAAUGAGCCGAUGUCGGAUUAGCUAGUUGGCGGGGUAAAGGCCCACCAAGGCGAGGAUCCGUAGCUGGUCUGAGAGGAUGGUCGGCCACACUGGAACUGAGACACGGUCCAGACUCCUACGGGAGGCAGCAGUGGGGAAUAUUGGACAAUGGGCGCAAGCCUGAUCCAGCCAUACCGCGUGGGUGAAGAAGGCCUUCGGGUUGUAAAGCCCUUUUGUUGGGAAAGAAAAGCAGCAGGUUAAUACCCCGCUGUUCUGACGGUACCCAAAGAAUAAGCACCGGCUAACUUCGUG
rnacentral:rRNA from 1 species